UAGGGAAUCUUCGGCAAUGGGGGGAACCCUGACCGAGCAACGCCGCGUGAGUGAAGAAGGUUUUCGGAUCGUAAAGCUCUGUUGUUAAGGAAGAACGAGUGUGAGAAUGGAAAGUUCAUGCUGUGACGGUACUUAACCAGAAAGGGACGGCUAACUACGUGCCAGCAGCCGCGGUAAUACGUAGGUCCCGAGCGUUGUCCGGAUUUAUUGGGCGUAAAGCGAGCGCAGGCGGUUAGAAAAGUCUGAAGUGAAAGGCAGUGGCUCAACCAUUGUAGGCUUUGGAAACUGUUUAACUUGAGUGCAGAAGGGGAGAGUGGAAUUCCAUGUGUAGCGGUGAAAUGCGUAGAUAUAUGGAGGAACACCGGUGGCGAAAGCGGCUCUCUGGUCUGUAACUGACGCUGAGGCUCGAAAGCGUGGGGAGCGAACAGGA
rnacentral:rRNA from 2 species